rnacentral:misc_RNA from 1 species
UCCGGCUUAACGCCGGCAGUCCCCCCAGAGUCCGCCGUUGUCUAGCCCAGGUAAGGUUCUUCGCGUUGCGUCGAAUUGAACCACAUGCUCCACCGCUUGUGCGGGCCCCCGUCAAUUCCUUUGAGUUUUAGCCUUGCGGCCGUACUCCCCAGGCGGGGCACUUCAUGCGUUAGCGCCGGUACCCCGGGGGUCGCUCCCCAGAGCACCUAGUGCCCAUCGUUUACGGCGUGGACUAC